AUAGCCGGUAAAAUUCCGGAGCUCCGUCAAGAGUAGCAUCUUCAAUCAAAUCCAAAUGAAGCUGCUUCUGGUACUCCACUUCUGCAGGCCAUAUCUGGGACCGUGACAAAUCCUGCUAAAAACACUGGGACCUCAUCAGUGACAAAUGAAGGUGCUCCAACUUGCACAGAUCAGCCUAGUUGUCCUUCAUGCUCAUCAGUUGCAAAAUCAGGUG